UACUACAAGUGUAGCUAAAAGGAAAAUAACAAAUUGUAUUUUUGUAGUCCCAAGUUUUAAAAAUGAGAAACUUAAUACAGAACAUAAUGAUGAACUUUAGUCAAAGAUGGAAAGAUUAUUUUAUCAGUCCAAGAGAUUAGUUAGAUCUGUUGUCUUUAUAUUUUUAUAUACAUUUUAAUUCUCAUGAAGGAAAAAUAGAUUCAUAUGUAUAUAUACCACCUCAAAGGAGGGAGCAGACAACUGCUUUUUAAACUCUCUAUUGGCUUUAUGGUUAAUGUGUAGAAAAAGUUUUCUACUGUCAAAGUAUCAAGAGUUACAUGACCUGUUUUAAAGAUUCAGUCAAGUCUUGGCUCAAACAUGCAACUGGAUCAUUCCAUCCCUAACUAAGUGGAUACAAGUGGAGGAUUUCUUCAAAGAGCCCUGAUACU
rnacentral:lncRNA from 1 species